CGCGUAGGCGGUGCGGUAAGUCACCUGUGAAACCUCUAGGCUCAACCUAGAGCCUGCAGGCGAAACUGCCGUGCUUGAGGGUGGGAGAGGUGCGUGGAAUUCCCGGUGUAGCGGUGAAAUGCGUAGAUAUCGGGGGGAACGACCUGUGGCGAAAGCGGCGCACUGGACCACUUCUGACGCUGAGGCGCGAAAGCUAGGGGAGCAAACA
rnacentral:rRNA from 1 species